GCCAGGGAGAGAUCCCAGCAGAGAGAGGCUGGGCAUGAAGGGAUGGGGUGAUGGUAUGUCAAUUAGGCUCCAGCUCCUGCUCCAGGGCCCUUUCAUGGAGGCUUGUUUCCUAGGUCCUCUCCCAAGGACACCCUCUCCAUGCUCUCAACCGCAUCCUUCCCUGAGUCUCAGGCUCAGACUACAGUCUAUGGUCUACAGCUUCCCUCUCCCCGAGUCCCAACCCCAGUUUUCUCAGUUCCUGGCUGCAAUGGUCCUAGGCCCUCCACUCAAUUUCCAAACCUUUUGCCUGGUGCCACCUUCUCUACCCAGAACUUUGGCCUACCUGUCAAUCCUGCCCUGCAUGUCACCUCAGCCUGGAAGUCCAUAGGACUGUGAUGAAGACGACUGCUUGCAUUUUCUGAAUCACUUUGUCGAUGAGACAUGCAUCCUAUUAGAGCUAACAAAGCUUCACAGAAAGGUUGUUUUGAAGUUGACACUGAGGAAGAUAUAGGUGCUCUAGGAUCAGUAUGUGAGGCUGCCACUAACAUGCUGUAGUUUGCACAUUCUUUCAGAGAGGUUGCAGAGUCUGCUUGGGAGAGAAGCCUCAAAAACAUGACUGGUGUCUUGGCAGAGUUUGCUCUGGUCCACAGGAGGGUGUACAAACAGGCUUCAUGAGAAGGUGACUUGCUGGCCACUCUUAACCACUAGAAGAAAUUGAUGCCAUGGAACUUUGAAAAAUCAGAAAGCAAUUCCACAAAAGAUGAACCUCUGAAGAUAGUAGAGCCCAAUGAAGACAAAUGACAUCGCCCAUAGGAGGAAAACAGUGGUAUCAACCUAUAGGGGCUCACUGCUCUAUGUGCUGGAAGCCAAUAAUAUGACAAUGGGUUUUUGAGAAAAUAAAAGCUUUGCAUUGAGAUUCAACCCCUAGAUGAGAU
rnacentral:lncRNA from 1 species